CCUCCCACCCGGUCUCAGGCUGCCUUCCACACAGCUCCAGCUGUCAGGCUGCCCUGCACCCGCUCUGCACAGCCUUCCCACAUGCUCGCUGCCAACCUGGACCAGAACUGCGUCUAGGAGGACGCCGCACCCCGGUAUCUGACCCCCACAGACAGCCUAACACAUUUUACAUCUUGUGAAGGCAGAACAAACAAAAGAUGGGUAGGAAUUCUACAAGCAAAAUGUUCUCACCCACAAAGACCAGGUUGUUGUAAUUCUCCAACAUCACAUCAAUGUACAAAGCCUUCUGAGCAGAGUCCAGGCAUUCCCACUCCUCUUGGGGGAAGUCCACAGUCACAUCCCUGAAUGUCAACAGACCCUGAAACAAAAGCAUAUGGUUUCAGCAUGUUCUACCUGAAGUUCCUAACUCCAAAUCUUCAGAUGUGAGUCCACAACCUGGAGUGACUGCAGUGACCAGAAAAGUGUCCCCGCCCCAUCGGAGACCCGUCCCUCUUACCCUGUCUCAGGCGCCUUCCACACAGCUCCAGCUGUCAGGCUGCCCUGGACCCGCUCUGCACAGUCUUCCCACAUGCUCGCUCCCAGCCUGGACCAGACCUGCUUCUAGGAGGACGCUGCACCCCGAAAUCUGACCACCAGCCUGGAUUCUGAAACCUUCAGAUAAAAGACAGGUAGCCAAAUCUCGACUUGACUACCAGCCUCCCUGGCUACAACCUACACCAAACGAUAACAGGCUAAAUUCAGAUGCCAGCGUCCCAUCGUUAACACACACAUGACAAGCCAAAACCAAACACUGCAAUUGUAACUUGCAAAGAGACAUUUCAGGAACUUGGAUUUUGAAAAAGAAAUAGGUGUCUCAAGAAGUCAGUGGUCAAGCCCACUUCUAAGAUCCCAGGGCUGAGUUCACCCCGCGCUCUAUUGCUCUCACCACUAGAUGGUGGUCUUGUCGUUUUACUAUCGAACAAGUGUUUGUGUUGUGACUCGUGCUAAAGAUGCUUGUAGAUAAAAUAUGCAAAAAAAAAAAUUUAAUGUAGUGGUGAAUGCAGAGACCCUUGGCUGUCCCAAAUGCAGAAAAUGAGUAAGGUAUGUAGUCCCAGUCCUGAAAACAUCAGUUACACCUUCCCACCUAUGGCUCCUGGAACACCGAGGAAGAGGAGGAGGAAAGGGAAUAAGAAGGGAAAGAGGAGGAAGGGCUAAGACUUGCCAUUCUCUAGACUCCACACAGCUGUUGUAAUCAGUAACCAACAGCAGCUGUACUGACCUGCAUUGACCUCACACUAGACCACAAUCAGUCUAGGAAAGGGAAAGGCUCACAGGGCACACCCUUUACCUCUCAAAUGUUGGCAAUGGGUGGAUUGUGGGAGAAGAAUCACUGCCUUUGGUUGUAGUCCUCUGCUGAGCCCAUCAGGCUCCAACACAUAGCUCCAAAACCACAGUCUCAGUGUGGCCCUGGUCAAUCUCAGUCUGUCCCAAGCAAAGUGAAUGGAGAUAAACACAACAGAGAUUUGUUGGAAUUGUGGAGCAGGAUAGUAGAGAGGUAGGAAGUGAGAAUGGACAGUAUUUGAGGCACACACACACACACACACACACACACACACACACACACACACACUUAUCUACAUACACCGUGUCUUAAAUAUACAA